rnacentral:rRNA from 1 species
GAUGAACGCUGGCGGCGUGCCUAAUACAUGCAAGUCGAGCGAACGGACGAGAAGCUUGCUCCUCUGAUGUUAGCGGCGGACGGGUGAGUAACACGUGGAUAACCUACCUAUAAGACUGGGAUAACUUCGGGAAACCGUAGCUAAUACCGGAUAAUAUUUUGAACCGCAUGGUUCAAAAGUGAAAGACGGUCUUGCUGUCACUUAUAGAUGGAUCCGCGCUGCAUUAGCUAGUUGGUAAGGUAACGGCUUACCAAGGCAACGAUGCAUAGCCGACCUGAGAGGGUGAUCGGCCACACUGGAACUGAGACACGGUCCAGACUCCUACGGGAGGCAGCAGUAGGGAAUCUUCCGCAAUGGGCGAAAGCCUGACGGAGCAACGCCGCGUGAGUGAUGAAGGUCUUCGGAUCGUAAAACUCUGUUAUUAGGGAAGAACAUAUGCGUAAGUAACUGUGCACAUCUUGACGGUACCUAAUCAGAAAGCCACGGCUAACUACGUG